CGGGUGAGUAACGCGUGAGAAUCUGGCUUCAGGUCUGGGACAACCACUGGAAACGGUGGCUAAUACCGGAUGUGCCGAGAGGUGAAAGGUUAACUGCCUGAAGAUGAGCUCGCGUCUGAUUAGCUAGUUGGAAGUGUAAUGGACUCCCAAGGCGACGAUCAGUAGCUGGUCUGAGAGGACGAUCAGCCACACUGGGACUGAGACACGGCCCAGACUCCUACGGGAGGCAGCAGUGGGGAAUUUUCCGCAAUGGGCGAAAGCCUGACGGAGCAAUACCGCGUGAGGGAGGAAGGCUCUUGGGUCGUAAACCUCUUUUCUUAGGGACGAACACAAUGACGGUACCUGAGGAAUAAGCAUCGGCUAACUCCGUGCCAGCAGCCGCGGUAAUACGGAGGAUGCAAGCGUUAUCCGGAAUGAUUGGGCGUAAAGCGUCCGCAGGUGGCUAUGUAAGUCUGCUGUUAAAGAAUCUAGCUUAACUAGAUACAAGCAGUGGAAACUACAAGGCUAGAGUACGUUCGGGGCAGAGGGAAUUCCUGGUGUAGCGGUGAAAUGCGUAGAGAUCAGGAAGAACACCGGUGGCGAAGGCGCUCUGCUAGGCCGUAACUGACACUGAGGGACGAAAGCUAGGGGAGCGAAUGGGAU
rnacentral:rRNA from 1 species